rnacentral:tRNA from 2 species
AUAAAGAUGGCAGAUAAAGUGCACUAGGUUUAAGCCUUAGAAAUAAAGAUUAAAUUUCUUUUCUUUAUA